GGGGACAUAGCUCAAAGGUAGAGCUUUUGCCUCCUAUGCAAAAGGGCCUGGGUUCAAUGACCAGUGCCACAA
rfam:Ictidomys tridecemlineatus contig002725, whole genome shotgun sequence.